AUUGAUUCAGCACUACAAAUUGAAUCAGCAAUACAAAAUCUUCCAACAAAGAAAAGCCCUUGACCUCAUGGCUUUAGUGGUGAAUUCUACCACACAUUUAAAGAACUAAUACUAAGUCUUGCAGAUUUAUCCAAAAAAUGAAGAGUCCACUUCCUAACUUAUACUAUGAGGCCAGCAUUCCUCUUAUACCAAAGAAAGACAGACUCCACAAGAAAACUAGAGACUGAUAUCCCUUAUGAAUAUUGAUAGAGAAAUUCUCAACAAGGUACUAGGAAACAAUUUGGCAGCAUAUCUAAAGGUUUAGGCGCCAUAAGCAAGUAGAAUUUAUGGUUCAACAUACGAAAAUCAAUCUGUGUAACAUACCACGUCAACAGAAUGAAAUGGGAAAAGCCCACAUGAACAUCUCGUUUGAUGCAGGAAAACCAUUUGACAAAAUUCAACACACUAAUAAUAAGACCACUCAACAAACUGGGAGUAGAAGGAAGCUACCUUAAUGUAAUAAAAGCCAUUUAUGAAAAGCACAGUGAACAUCAUACUCAAUGGUGAAAGACUAAAAGCAUUUCCUCUGAGAUCAAGAACAAAGCAAAAUUGUCCUUUAACACAUCUAUUCCAAGAUAGUACUAAAAGUUCUAGCCAGAGUACUUAGGCAAGAUAAGAAAAUCAAAUGCAUCCAAAUGGGAAAGGAGAAAGUAAAAUUACUGCUUUGCAUAUGACAUCUAAUAUAUAGAAAACCCUAAGCAGUUCAAAGAAAAAACUCAGAACUAAUAAAUCAAUUCAGCAAAGGAAUAGGAUGCAAAUCAACACAUAAAAAUCAGUUGAAUUUCUACACACUAACAAUGAACAAUUUGGAAAGGAAAUUGCAAAAACAAUUCCAUUUAAAAUUACAUUUUAAAACACUUAGUAAAUAAUGUAGUGAAAAGCAAAAGACUUGUACACUGAAAACUACAAAACAUUGCCAAAAGACAUUAAAGGAAACAUCAAUAAAUGGAAACAUCUUAUACUUGUGGAUUGGAAGGUGCUAUUGCUAAAUCAUCAUUACUACCCAAAGUGAUCUACAGAUUUAAUGUAAUUCCUGUCACACCCCCAGUGACUUUUUUUUUUUUUUGCAGAAAUAGAAAAACUUAUUCUAAAAUUUAUGUGAAACCUCAAGGGACCCUGAAGAGCCAAAAGAAUCUUGAAAAAUAAGAACAAAGUUAGAGGACUCACAUGUCCAGAUUUCAAGACUUACACUACAAAGCUACAGUGUUAUAUUGGUGAAAGGACAGGCUUAGA